AGUGUGAGGGCAUAUAGCCCUCGCUUUUCUGUACCGUAAGGUGGUACAGGAACAAGGACUGGGCAAGACCGGUGCCAGCCGCCGCGGUAAUACCGGCAGUCCAAGUGAUGGCCGAUAUUAUUGGGCCUAAAGCGUCCGUAGCUUGCUGUGUAAGUCCAUUGGGAAAUCGACCAGCUCAACUGGUCGGCGUCCGGUGGAAACUACACAGCUUGGGGCCGAGAGACUCAACGGGUACGUCCGGGGUAGGAGUGAAAUCCUGUAAUCCUGGACGGACCACCAAUGGGGAAACCACGUUGAGAGACCGGACCCGACAGUGAGGGACGAAAGCCAGGGUCUCGAACCGGAUUAGAUACCCGGGUAGUCCUGGCUGUAAACAAUGCUCGCUAGGUAUGUCAGCGCCAUGAGCACGUGAUGUGCCGUAGUGAAGACGAUAAGCGAGCCGC
rnacentral:rRNA from 1 species